GGAGCUACGGAGCAGUCUGGAGUGCUCGCUACCCUGUCACGGUAGAGAUCGUGGGUUCAAGUCCCACUAGCUCCG
rnacentral:tRNA from 1 species